GGAAGGUUGGCCGAGCGGCUAAAGGCACCUGCUUGGAAAGCAGGCAUCGGGAAACCGGUACGCAAGUUCGAAUCUUGCACCUUCCGCCA
rnacentral:tRNA from 2 species